rnacentral:rRNA from 1 species
UGCGUGCUUACACAUGCACGUCGAACGCUGAAGCCUGGUGCUUGCACCGGGUGGAUGAGUGGCGAACGGGUGAGUAACACGUGAGUAACCUGCCCCUGACUUCGGGAUAAGCCCGGGAAACUGGGUCUAAUACCGGAUACGACCGUCGGACGCAUGUCUGGUGGUGGAAAGUUUUUUCGGUUGGGGAUGGGCUCGCGGCCUAUCAGUUUGUUGGUGAGGUAAUGGCUCACCAAGACGACGACGGGUAGCCGGCCUGAGAGGGCGACCGGCCACACUGGGACUGAGACACGGCCCAGACUCCUACGGGAGGCAGCAGUGGGGAAUAUUGCACAAUGGGGGAAACCCUGAUGCAGCGACGCAGCGUGCGGGAUGACGGCCUUCGGGUUGUAAACCGCUUUCAGCAGGGAAGAAGCGCAAGUGACGGUACCUGCAGAAGAAGUACCGGCUAACUACGUGCCAGCAGCCGCGGUAAUACGUAGGGUACGAGCGUUGUCCGGAAUUAUUGGGCGUAAAGAGCUCGUAGGUGGUUGGUCACGUCUGCUGUGGAAACGCAACGCUUAACGUUGCGCGUGCAGUGGGUACGGGCUGACUAGAGUGCAGUAGGGGAGUCUGGAAUUCCUGGUGUAGCGGUGAAAUGCGCAGAUAUCAGGAGGAACACCGGUGGCGAAGGCGGGACUCUGGGCUGUAACUGACACUGAGGAGCGAAAGCAUGGGGAGCGA